ensembl:lncRNA MAGI2-AS3 MAGI2 antisense RNA 3
GGCGGCGGCGGCGGCAGCCGGAGCGAGCAGUAGCCGAGCUGGUUUGCAUCCAAGAGAGGGGAGGACAGGGGCAAAAGGAUGCAGGGAGGCUGCUGAUUUCCACUGAAGAGCUAAUUUCCUGUGAGACAUUAACAGUGAUUUAAGAAAAAGAUUCCUGUAACUGUAAUGUCUUACAAUAACAGAAUGCAGGAGAGCACAUAUCAAUGAAGAAAAGACAAAAUGUACUUAUCCAUGAAGCUGAGGUUAAGAAACCAGUGUCUUCAAGAGCCAGGGACAGCACUGGGUCUGUGCAGAGUUGAGAGAUGGUGAUGACAUGUGGUUUCCAGCAUUCCUCACCCAGUCCAGGGACACUGUGGGUGUGCCCAGCUUAAGUCCAGUAACUGGAAAUACAAGCCCAAGUUCUGGAGAGUUUGAGCUGCAGAGAUAUAUAUGGGAACACUUUGAAUCUUGACUCAUUGGCCAUAACCAGCAGAGUGGAAAAUACAAGAAGAGAAAAAAACAUUGAACUGCGAUUUUAUAACAUCCUUUACUAGGCAGAGAGAAGAGGAAACACCAGGAAAGAAAACUGUAUUACGAUGUGAAAACUUAAUGUUGAGAAAUUCAGGCAUCUUGGGGUUAGUGAGGAGAAGUUUUAGGGGCUUAGAUUCUUCUAAACACAUGUACAGAAAUGCAUAUUUCAUCUGAUAUCAAAUGGCAUUUAUAGUGCUAAUCUUUACCUCAAGACUUCACAUCUUUUGGUGAUUGCAUCUUUUAGGUUUAUAGCAGCUAAGUUUGCAUGAAAACACCAGGGCUGUUUCAUUUCAGUCAAGAAUUAAUGUUCAUUGAUUGUGCUUCUGCAUUUCAUGUAACUAUUGUAGAAUUUGUUUUAGUUUUAUGAGGGAAUAAUUGUUCCAACUUCUAUAUAACUCAGGAAUUUACUCUCAAACAACACUGUCAAUUAGUUACUUAUCUCUCUGGAAAUGAUCUGGGAACAUGGAGAGGAAAGGGAGGAAGGGGCAAAAUCUGACCACUUAAAUCUAAGCAUAUUAGAUCAUUUUAUGCUAGAAAGUCCUGAAUGAUGUGACUUUCGUUCUUGUAAAACACCUCUUUCCAUAGAUUCAUGGCCCAAACAGUAUAUAAAGAGUGGGGAAGGAACUGCAUUUGCAAAUAGUUCAAAUCAUUGCUCCAUCUUAACUACGCAGUUCACAAAGUGUGAAGAAAUGUGAUCAUCUCAAAAAAGAUAAUGGGGAAAAAAUAUGUUUUGUUCUGUGACUUUAAAGUCUUGCAAUAUUUUACAUAAAUGAUAAUGGGUGCUUUAAUAAGAACUCUUGAUACUUUUGUUAUUGUAUUCAAUAUAUGCAUAUAAUACAACAGGAUGAUAUUGUUUUGGAUUUGGAAAUGUAUUCUUUCUUAUGCAAUCUUAUGCAGUCAUACUGCUUGAAUAUCAUUACCUGAAUUUAUCUUUCUUUUUUUUGUUGUUGUUUUACACUCUACUUAUUUGGUGCCUGUCAGUCUUUUGUCGUCAGUUUAUAUUCUACUAAACUCAAAAAGACAAUCUCAUACCUUUUGUAAUUGUAGGCAUUCUUUACUAGAUUUUUAAAUACACUUCAAAAAUUCAAGUACUUUGAUUUCAUGCCAUCAAGUAGCUGAAUCUAUCCCCCCGUCUCUUUUUAAAUUUAAGUGAGUAGUUCAAUUUCUGUCACUUUCUACUUUGUGAAUUCUAAAUCUUUUAAAACCAUCUUGCCAUUUUUCGUGCACUUACCCUUACAGAAAACUCUGUGAAACACUACUUAUCUCUACUUUUAUGUUUUUAACUCCUUUUUUAUAUUACUAUUCCCUCUGCUUUCUAAAUGCACAUAUUAAUUUGUUCUUUUUAUUCUCUGUAGCUCUUCUCAGUGUAUGAAUUCAGUUUCCCAUCAGUCUCCAUACAAUUAAAAAAAAGUUGAGUAUUCUGUUAUUUUAAUAAGAUAUCUAGUGCCCAUAUUCUAAUUCUGCCCCUUAUUUUUAAUAUAAUUUUAUUGUUGAUUUAAAAUGACAACAGUUUCAAUUCCCAGAAAGUGAAAGGAAACAAAGGAAUAAUAUUAUAGGCUUAAUUUUUAUCAGUGAACUUGUAGGUGAAGAAAAGAUUUGGGGAAGGAAAUGAACAUAUUAUAUUGCAAAAUAGUAAGGAACAAUCAGAUGUGUUUUCUAGUCUCUGGAAAAGCAUGUUUCAAGAAAUUCAAUGAAAAGUUCAUCAUGCUUGCUUAGAUUGUUGAGAAGCAAAAACACUGAUGAACAUUUGGAAGCAAUGAGAAUGUAAUUCUAAUCAUACUCUUUUAAUAAUGUUGCAAAACUCUCCAAACACUACUCUGUGUGGAUGUCUUUCAGAAUAUGAUGAAUACUAGUAGUCUUAUUCUGCCCUUUUCUCUCUAUCACAAUAUAUACAUUCUAUAUUGCAUACACAUAUUUUCCAAAUAUUACAUAUAAUUUCAUGUAAUUUAUAGACCUAUUAAGGCCCAACCAUUUUCUUGGAUAGGGGAUUCUUUAGAAGUCCAGCUUAAAUAAAGCCCGUAUAGAAAGUUUUUUUAAAAUUUAUACAUAAUCACCUAAAGUAACCUUAUCUACUGAACUCUUAGUACAUGCUACUGGAACCUUUUAUCAUGUUUCUUCCUGGCUUGCAUUACAACACUGUUGACAUAUCUCAGCCUUACUUCUAGGCUUCUUUGAGAGCAUGACUCAUGUUUGUAUUCCUCACUGAGGUUGAAUGAAUAAGAGAAACUACAGUAGUAGGAAAAAACAGUACAUGUACAUAUCAAUGAAUAUGAAAGGGUCAAAUGGAUCUAUUAUAGUAAGCACAAAAUCAACUGACACCAGCAAAGUAAACCCAAAAUUUUUAAUGGUAUUUUAAUAGAUCAAGAGGAGCAAGCAGAUUUUUGAGACAGUUGUCUCCUACUUUCUCUAUCACAGGGAGUAAUUUUAAAAGAAAAAUGGAGGGUAAGUUUCUUUAAGAGAAAAUUGUAGUUUAAAACAGGUCAUGGGAUAAUUAGAAAUAAUUUAAUUUCUUUAGAGGAUUUUAAUCUUUCAACUGCUUGCAAUUAGAUCCUAAGGCAAUAAAAGAAUAAGGAGAUUUGGAAAACCAUUGUCUGUAAUCUCUGAAGAAAAGUGGACAUUAGGGGAGUCAGUUGAAAAGCAAAGCUAUCACCAUUUUCUAAAGAGGAAAAAGGUGAACCUCACAAACUAUAGACCAAAAAAAUAGGACAUCGAGAGAAAGAAUAUGAAGCUAGCAUAGGUUCACAAAGAAUGAGUCAAAUCAAACAACAUGCAUUUUUUAUUUAUAAAGCAUGACUUGUUCAUUGUCAAUUCAUGUUAGCUUAAUCAUUAGGCAUUAAUGCCAUCACUGCAAUGCAUAUGUCAGCAAUAAAUAAUCAAAGACCAGGCUUCCAUCAUUCUGUUUAAUAUCUUCAAGUAAUGCUUAAGUUUGCAAAUGCUCUUUUAACACAUUCUCCAUAUGCAGCCUGCCCAGCACUGCACACAAUAGACCUGUUACUUCCCCCUCACGAGCACUCCUAAUAUUUCAUGUGCUCAUCCAAUUGACUUCUCCCACUGGUGCCUCAUAUUGAAUUUGUAGAAUCACACCUGCUCCUUUUUCAAAACUCUUCUGAGUUUUUUCUUAAAUAAUUCACUGACCCCAAAGUUGUCAGAUAUUUGAAGACUACUCGCACAAUUUUAAUAUUAUAAAUGUAUAAUGUAAAUGUAAUUAAGAUUUGUAUAAUGUACGAUGUACUUUGGUAAAUAAAAGUAUGCUGUGAAUAAAUACGUAUGAUACAAUUCAAAAUUUUACAUAAAUAUGUGAUAAAAUUUAGCUCAUAUUCUUUUUUUUUUUCUUUGAGACGGAGUCUCACUCUGUUGCACCCAGGCUAGAGUGCAGCAGCAUGAUCUCAGCUCACUGCAACCUCUACCUCCUGGGUUCAAACAAUUCUCCUGCCUCAGCCUCCUGAGUAGCUGGGAUUACAGGUGCCCGCCACCAUGCCCAGCUAAUUUUUUUCUAUUUUUGUUGUUGUUGUUGUUUUUAGUAGAGACGGGGUUUCACCAUGUUGGUCAGGCUGGUCUUGAACUCCUGACCUCAGAUAAUCCACCUGCCUCGGCCUCCCAAAGUUCUGGGAUUACAGACGUGAACCACGGUGCCCGGCCUAGUUCAUGUUCUUUAAGGACAAUUAUGAAUAUUUUUAUGCACUGUUAAUUUUCAUUAAGAUAUUGAUCAAUUAAUAGCUAUAUAUGUUCUAUAAAUUAAUCCUAUCUAGUUUCAAUCUUAAAUUGUUUGCAUAUACCAAUCUAGUUUAUUGUUUGCAUAUAUUUUAUAGUGUAGAGAUUAGGCAUUUUAAUAAAAUUUUAAAAUUUCCAGGACAUACUGUUAAUGACUAUGCUUCCUACUAUAGGCCAUAAUUAAUUUUUUUCUAUUGUCAACAAUAUUUUGGUAGGGAUGAUCAGGAAAUAAGGAAAUGUUUCCUUCAUUUGUUAACAAUAGGUGUUUGGGGAUUUUAAAAUGAAAAUUGAAGAAGUAAAAGACACCAUAUAUUUAGUUUGUUUGAUUUCGUGGCUUCAAGAGUUCAAUAAUUUAUUGAAAUAUUUUACAGACCAAAGAACAACAGAUAUAUUACGUUUAUAAGCCCCCACAUAUUUUAAAGGAUAAUGGUUUAUAUAUGAAAAUUCCCUGAACCUACACUUCAUC